rnacentral:lncRNA from 7 species
UUCUUCCAUGUUUUUAAAUUUCAAUUACAAUUUCAAAUUUGGACCUAGUUUUCAAGAUUCCACUUCAUUUUUAUGCACGAACAAACUCCAGGAUGAGAUGCAUAAGUAUAAGUUUUACUUUUUUUAGUUACUUUAUUCAUUUAGUAAAUAUUUCCAAAUAUGAAGUACACACAUUCUAAGAAAAUCUUAUUUUGACUGUGUAGUCAAUUUAAAAUUUCAUGCACAAAUUAAUAUUCAUGUCUUAUUUACUUUAGGAGAAAGUAAUGUACAAUAUUUAUCAAGAUUUACUCAAAUAUUUU